rnacentral:sRNA from 1 species
AAAGAUUAUUUUUGUGGCAUGGUAUUCAUCACGAUACUUGUCAAAUUAAGUUGAACCGUCUGCUUAGCAUCCUUAUACCCUGCACUGGUAUAAUUGGAUAUACUUAGGAUUAAGUCAUACCUGGUCUAAAUUCAAAGGCUGACAAUCACACGUAUGUUGCCUUUUAAUUCUUAGAACGAGGUCUAUAUAGUCAUUAUAACUAUGAAAUAAUAAAGUACACAUGAAAAUGAUCAUUCGCAAUUUUUUAUUUAAUGUUAAGUUUGAGGAGGAAAAGACCAUUAAACGUUUUUUAUCGUUGAUCCAAAUGUGUAAAGUGAUCAGCUUACCUAAAUAUGCAAGAUCUAGCUGAAAUCUCAUGAUAAAAUGAGGAGUUGUUUCUGCUGGCCAGAUACCCAAAAAUGGUGAUUUUAAAAGUUUUGCAAAAGCUUUGUUACCUAUAUACUCAGCUACGUAACACGGCGGAGUAUAAAUUAGUCAGCAGUACAUUACGUUAAUGCUUUGUAGACAAUUGUCACACCUGGUUUUCUGUAUCAGAGUAUUGUCACUUUAUAACACUAUGUAAUACUUAUAGCAUUCCAUUAUUAUAUAUAAAUAUUACCACAGAGCAUGGCUCUAAAAAUACAGUUUUAUUUUGUUUUUCUCUUUUAAGUUUAAUUUUAACAACAUUUUGUGUAUGAGAUAUAUUUUUGUAUGUUUUGUGUAAACAUUAAAAGAUAAUC